UUCAAGAAGUCGCGAUACGCAACAAACAAACCACGCCAACCUCAACAACUGAACGCGUGCUCUACGCUUCACGCACACUCUUUUCCCAGGACGGCACACACACCUGCCCCUUCCCUCACCCCUCCCACACACAAAGACAGACAGGCAGACGCCGUACGCUCGCGCAUACGCAAAACAGGAAACUUGUAAAGAGCGAAAGACCGCCACCGCCUCCUCACCCAUCUCUGCAGUUUGCUUUUUGACCUUCGCCCGACCGCUGACUUGUGCCUCUUCCUCCAGAGAUGCCUUCGUGUGGCGCAUCACUUGUGAGCGGGCUGAAGAAGUUGGGAAAGCCCAUCUUCUCGCAGACGCGUGAGUUGCAGCAGCGCAAGGAGAAAGGACUUCACCCAGUCUCUGAGCUCCGCCGCUUCCACCUCUUUGUCUGCUGCUUCUUCUGCAGCGUGUGCGCCUCGCUGACGUACGCUUUCGACCUCUUUACCACCCAGUUUCGCAGCCAGUUCAAGCUGACCUUGAGCGACCUGACCAUCAUCAGCACCGUGGGCCUCGUUUUCUGCUACUUUACGAUCCCCUACACCUUUAUCUUCCAGCCGUUCGGCCCCUUUUCCAUCUUCUGGAUAUGCGUCACUGCCACCGCUAUCGGCGGCAUCGGCCUUGCUGGCGUCUUCCGCGGCCAGAUUACUGGCAACACCGCCACCAUCACGGUUUUCUACGCCUUCCUCAAUACAGCGAGCGGGCUGAUCGAUAUGUGCUAUGUGUCGACACUCGUUGAGGUUUUUCCGCGCAACCGCGGCCCAAUCGUGUGCCUCGCGAAGGUGAUGACCGGACUGGGCAGCUCUGUGUUCGCCGCAAUGAGCAGCACCUUCUUCGAGGACAACAUCGACGGCUUCAUCUACUUUAUUACGGCGUUUGUCAUCGUCGUGUGCAUCUGGUCCAGCUUUGUCAUUGUAUUGCCACCGUACAUCGUGAACUGGUGGCGCCGUCAGGGCAAGACGCCGGAGCAGAUCGCCGUUCUGAAGGCCACGGUCACCUACUACGAGCGCAAGUUCGUUCCGAUGCCGCGCCUGAUCGUCGGCUACGCUGUGGUGCUGUUGCUGCUCGUUUUUUUCACGACUGAGGCGCCGGUCCUUGCAUACGUGCCGAACGUCAGCAGAAGCGGCAGGAUUGUGGUUGGCAUCAUGACGGUGGCGUUGACGUGCUCCAUUGUUGUGAUGCUGCUGCCUCUCCGCAUCCUUGGCGGCAUGAACGAACUGGAUCCAGGACUGGGACGGCUGGAGGACUCUGAGGAAGCCGCGCGCACCAAGGAUGUCGAUGAAGAUGGUCGCCUGGUGCAGCUUGACGACCUUGGCCAGGAGGUGCGAACGAGCAAUGAGGGCAGCGGUGAAGUCCUGGAGCCCUUCCGCAACGCCACGGUCGGCACGGCCACAAGCAGCCAGAGCGAGGAUGUCAUUAACAAGUACGCGCACCAGGACCCCCGUUACGAGGGUACAGUCAAAGACUACCUCCUCAACAUCGACGUGUGGCUCAUCAUGCUGCUCUUCAUUUGCUACGGUUGCAUGGGCGUCAUCGUCUUGUACAACUCGUCCACCAUUUCCAUCGCCCUGACUGGCCACAAGCGCAGCACACAGCUGUCCGCACUGUACACAGCCUUCCUCGGUGUGGGUAGCAGCGUUGGCCGUAUCGCCUUUGGUCUUUUCGAGGCGUACGUGCAGCACCAGGACCCCGAGAACCGCAAAGUGCUUGUGUCGAUGGCGCUGCCCGUAUCCCCGGCGAUGGCCUUCCUCGCUGGCAUCUUCCUGCUCUUCCUGCCGGGCAAAGCCGUGCUGCUGCCCUUUAUCCUCGUCUACAUGGAGGAGGGCAUAUUUGCCGGCAUCAACGCCCUCAUCUUCCCCUGCAUGUUCGAGAGCAACCACAACUUCUUGUACAAUCUCAGCUUCUUCGUGCAGAUGUGCUCCAUCAUCUCCUUCAACCUUGGCAUGUUCGGCCGGACCAUCGACAGGGAGCAGAGGAGGCUCCACAUCCCGAUGGACCUCGAGUGCAACGUCAAGUCUUGUGUGAGGACGCCGAUUAUCGUAUCCACGGUGCUCGCGUUCUUCGGCGUCCUUGUCGCCCUGGCGAUCCACUUCCGCUACGCCGCCUUUGUGAGGGGCACGCGAGAGCGCAUGCGAGCUCCAGGCGCCGAAGGAUCAGAGCCGACGGCAGGAACUGCUCCCAUAGAGGAAGCGAAACCAUGUGCGACAGAGGACGCGAAUGCGAAGGGUCUCGUCCUUGAAGAAUAGCGAAGGAAGCGUGGAAGCGUCGGCGGGGUACUCAAAGGAAUCUUGCUUUUCGCUCUGCACAGCUAGUGUGCCGAUCUGGGUGCAGUUUGAGGCAGUGGAAGCGGUGAGGGAAGGGCAAGGGGCGUGAGGGGAGAGGAAGCGCGAGUGGUAUGGCGGGGCGAGAGGCUGACGGAGAUGCUUGCCGGGUAUUGUGACUUGUUCCGUGUUGCCCUGUUCUCCUUUCCAUUACACCUUUCUCUUUCCUUGUCAGCGCUGACUGCCACUCAUCAUGUAUGUGCUGUGUGUUGCAUCCCUCGUCACUGCUUGUGCUGCCUCAUCCGCGCGCGAAGCGCGCUGUUUUUCUGCACAGGCCCUCUCUCUUUCUCGCGCACGCGCCCCCUUCGCUCGCAACUCGCCCAACCCCCACUUCCGCGUUGCAACCCGGCUUUUUUUUUGUUGCCUGCUUCUAUUUUGUGUGUUUGCAUGUGUGUGUGUGUGUGUGUGUGUGAGCGCGUGACGAGGUGCGAGUUGCUUGCCCCUGUUUUCUGUCCUGGGGCUCAUUCAUCUUCAACGCCACUCGACUCGCGUCUCGCUCUCCCUCUUUGCCCCUCUCCCUCUGACACUGGCGCUUGUUCUCUGCUCGUCCUCUUCCUUGAUCUCUUCUACCUACGGAUCGCACCCACACGGGGAGACGGUGUGGAGGAUGCCUACACGCACUCAGUGAAGCGCGUAUGCACACACACACACAGAAACGCAAAUGACGGUUUGAGGUAGCGUUACAGACAGCGAGAUCCAGACACCGCACAUCUCUCUAGCACAGUCGACGGCCUCGCAGGCAAGCACGCACUCUUCUCCCUCAUGGCUUCUGGUGUCGGCGGUCGGGUGUUUUUUGUGUCGUCUCCCGUGCGUUUGCUUUGCUCUUGUUCCCCUCCUCUCCCCUCUGCCCUCCCUCCUCCCUCCAUCUCAGCGGGUCUCUUCUUUUUUUUGGUGUUGGUCAGGGGUUUGCUUGGGCCUGUGAUUCAACACGUGCACGCGCGCUGCGGGCCCGUCGCGUGCACGUCUCGUGUCCGUCUGUCUGUGGUCGCUUUGGGGAGAGUGGAACACAUCAACGACGCCGGGGAGGUGGCAGUGUCGGUAGUUUCAGGGAAGCCGAUGCCAGCUGCACGGAUGACAGACUCGAUCACCGGCCUCAGACGCCAGAGGCCGAUAUAACCCCCCCCCCCAAACACCGCGGUGCGCGAUGCGGCACGCGACGACAAACGCGACUUGGCUGCAGCCGUCCCACGCCAGGGGAGCAAGGGUGCCGAGCUCACGAGACGACAGGCGGCCAUCCUCGCCCAGUGCCACACGGACAUCUGGCCGUACUUUGGAUUCCCGCAGCGGUUGGCGAGUGGCAGCAACACGAUGGUGUGCAGACGGUGUGCUGCCCACUGCUCCGCUAACGUUGUGGUACCCCUCCCCCUGCCCGUGUUUAUGCUAUGAGGGCUUCCGGCCCGGCGCUGUGCCCGAUAUGCCACGCGAGACUCGCGAAUCGCACGACGCUUGACGCACACCUCGGUCGCGCUGGAUGGGCUUCCCCUGUCAGGUGUGUGUGGCUGCCUCCUCAGGAGGACAGGCGAUGAGCUCCUUGUGCGGAUGCGCAUGCGUAUGCACGGGCCCCUUCCCCUUGACACACCCGCUCCUGUCAGAGGCAUGCGGGCUCAGGAGAGGGCGGUGUGCUCCAUGCCUCCACGGACUCAUGGCAGCGUCCCCACCUGUCGCGGCACACGCGGGCAAGCCAUCCAGACACGCCCUCCCUCCGUGACACGGUCAGACAUGGAAGAUGGAGGUCGGCGAACCCACCAGUGGCCAAGGUCCUCCUGGAACAGGCCCCACGAUGCGAGAAUGCGAGCACUGUGCGCACGCGCUGCCGGCCGCAGCCGGCACGGCGCAUGAGAUCCAAGCAAGGCGUCGGGAGGCCAGCGGGGCACGAGUGAUGGACGGAAGAGGUGCGACGAGAUCCAUACGAGUGAGCCCCCGCAGUGCAUGUGUGCCGAAACAUGCGCGCCACCCCCUCCAUCCGACCGUGUGGGCUGAUGCGGCACAGAUGCCGGAAGUCUGACGUGAGCAUCCCGGGUUCCACCGUGGAGAGCUAUCCAUGCUGCAAGGCGGAGAGUGACUGUACGAUAUUGUGGAAUGCCGGGGCUUGAAGCGACUGAGGGCGAAGCACGGCACACAGGCAGGGUGCCGGGUCGGAGAGGGCCCGGACCUGCGGCUGGCCGGCCUCCUCGCUGAGCUCAUCCGGCAUGCACGUGAGCCAGCCACUGCUACCCGCACGAUGGGCGCCCCACUGCUUCCGCCCUCGCGCAGGACCCUGGGUGCGGCCCGCUCGGAUCAGGGCAUGUGGUUCAUGUAGGUGUGUGAUGCGCCGAUGGUGCAGCGCGUAUCCGAAGAAGGGAAGGACACGAAGAGCCCGCUAGCCGCAUAGCCCGAUUCGACAGCAGACGGCCCGUCCUAGACGGCGAGGAUGUGGCCGCCGUGCAGCAGAGGUAGGUGAGCUGUAGUGGUGUAUGCGCGUAUAUCUGUUGCGGACGUGCUCGUCUGUAGAACGGACUCGCAGAAGAAGCGGACGUGUAUCCCCUCCUCGCACGGGGGGGGUAUCAGAGAAAGAGAAGAGGACGGCAACGGUACGGGAGUACGUGUUCACGUGCUGGUCUCUAUGUCGGCGUAGUGCCGUCUCCUUUUUCCCGCGCUCGCGACUUCAACUAUGCCACACCCACUUUGGCUCAGGCCUCGAAGUGUGAUCCUCAGCGUUGGACGUGCUGCGGUGCGCUUCGAGCUGGUGCUGUAGGGUUUGUUUGUGCUCACCGCCUUCUCCGCAUAUUCCUACAAGAAACCAAGGGGACGAGGUGCAUCGCCUCCCCUCCUUUCUUUCUGUUGCUCAAGGUGUGUGGAAGCGACGGGAGAGAAGUGCGGGGCAGAGGAAGGCAGGCGCAGACGCGCAUGUGCUUUCACGAUCCCUCCUUGGCUUCCAUAGCCCCACUGCUGUGCAUGCUUGAGGUCACGUAGGCGUCUAUUUCUUUUUUUUUACUGACUUUGGGCUUUCCCGCACACCUUCCUUUUUUCCGGCUUAGGCUUUUCGGUCCACUUCGCUCUUUGCGGUGUGUGUUAUUCACCCCCCCCCAUAUAUAUGUAUAGAUGGGUGUCUGUGCGUGUGUGUGUUUGGCCUGACGCACGCACACAUAUGCAUUCGUUCUCGUUUCUUCUGCUUGUCUCUUCCCCCUUCCCCCUUCCUCCUCUGUCCUCCCCUCCCCUCCCCCGCGUCCAUUUGCGCGCCUGUGAGCGCACGCUUCUGCGUCGCUGAAAAAUACAAAAUUGUUUUCUUUACGUUUGCCUUUGUGUGCGUACACGUGCGUGUGUGAGCGUGUUCGAGGUGGUUUCUGCCGUGGUCUUUCAUUUUCUUUUUUUUCGGUUGUGAGUGCGUGUGUGUGUUUGAGGGGCAACGACCAGCAGCAAUGGUGAGGGACGAAGCCCCGUUUUCUUUGUCCAUCUCUCUCCUGCCCACUCUCUUGAACGCACGCCUCGACCGACUCACCGCUCACCGCCUCUUCCAUGUCUUUCUCGCUCUCCCUGCGCGCUCUUGUAUAUGGGUUGCUGUUUCACCGCAGAUGUCGGGUGUGAUGGGAGAGGAUGACGUUUUAUGUACGCGCGCCUUGUUACUUUUUUGUGUGUGUGCGUAUUUGUUGUGGUGGGAUGCAUCACUGCGUAAGUGUGAUGAAUGUGUGCAUGCACGAGUGCACCAAGCUCUCUCCACCCUGUCAACACCACCAUCACUGCCGCUAAUGUCCAAUCGCCUACAACGUCACGUUUAAACAUCAAAUCUAUCUCUACAUGCAAACCACAGAGGAGGCAGAUGUGCUUGCGAGCGUUUACGCCGUAUAUGCCUUCAUACAUGUCUGCACCCCAACACACACACACACACACACACACACAGACCCACACAGACAGUCAAAGGCAGACAAGCCUUCCCCACCGAAUCGCUCAUCCUUUGUUUUACGUACGAUAAGGCGACGCUGCUCAUCCCACCGCUGCACCUCCACGAAAGAAAAAAAAACAAGCAAAAAAAGGAGUGCAGACAAACACGCGUGUGCUUGUUCUUUUUUUUUAGUUUUCGCUUCUUCCCUCCCUCGGCGCUUCGUGAUGACGUGUGUGCGCGCGUGACGGUGUGCUCUCUCUUAAGUGAUUCCUUCACGCGCUCCCUUGUUUUCUUUCUGUUUUUUUUUCUUUUUUAGUUUCGGUGUUGGUUGCUGCAACGCGUGUUUUGUGGCGUGCGCGUGUGUGUAUGUAGCUCUCUCUUGGCGUUGUGAAUGUCCAGCGUAGAGGUACCGCAGUCCUCUUCGAAUAUUUUCUGUAUGUCUUUUGGUCGAUAUUCAAUGAGCUCUCUCUAUUUAGCACAUUUAGUUACGCGUCACCCCCUCUUCUUCUCUUCCCUCCAGUGUGUGCGUGUGUCCAUUUCUUUUCAAUCCUAGACACGCUUGAAGAAGCCGCCUCCUGACCCUCUACGCUGUGAUCUUGUUGCCGCAGCAGGUCGCGCCUUCUUCACUGUUUUCGUCCCGCUGCCUCUCGCACUCGCUCUUCUUGUUGUCGUCUCCUCCACUCCACGCCUGACGCAGAGUGAGCAUUUGAAUAGCCAUGAGCUUCUCUGUGUACAGCUCUGCGUGAAAGGUGAAGAGUGAGAUGGCGGAAGGGAUUGGCAAACUGGCACAACGUGGCAGCAGACGCCGACAAGUGGGCCUACAUAUGCAGACACCGACUAGCUCGUCGCCUCCGUGACAAGUCGGUAGGAGCGUCCCUCGGGAAGAAAUCCGCCUAUGUCCCGCAGGAAGCUGCUCUAUAUUUAUACAAGCACACGCAAACGUAACAGUAAAGAACGCAG
rnacentral:misc_RNA from 1 species